rnacentral:rRNA from 1 species
UCGNUAGGGGGAUCCCAAGUGCACAGGCAUAGCGCCUGUGCUUUUCGGUACCCUAAGGCGGUACCAGAAUAAGGGCUGGGCAAGACCGGUGCCAGCCGCCGCGGUAAUACCGGCAGCCCGAGUGAUGGCCGAUCUUAUUGGGCCUAAAGCGUCCGUAGCUGGCCACGCAAGUCCAUCGGGAAAUCCACCUGCUCAACAGGUGGACGCCCGGUAGAAACUGCAUGGCUUGGGACCGGAAGGCGCGACGGGUACGUCCGGGGUAGGAGUGAAAUCCCGUAAUCCUGGACGGACCGCCGAUGGCGAAAGCACGUCGCGAGAACGGAUCCGACAGUGAGGGACGAAAGCCAGGGUCUCGAACCGGAUUAGAUACCCGGGUAGUCCUGGCCGUAAACAAUGUCUGCUAGGUGUGGCUCCCACUACGAGUGGGUGCUGUGCCGCAGGGAAGCCGCUAAGCAGACCGCCUGGGAAGUACGUCCGCAAGGAUGAAACUUAAAGGAAUUGGGGGGGGAAACCACAAAAAAUAAGA